UACGUAGGUGGCAAGCGAUACUCGGAAUCACUAGGCGUAAAGCGCAGGUAGGCGGUUUGGUAAGUCUUUUGUGAAAGCUCCCGGCUUAACUGGGAGAGGUCAAGGGAAACUACUAGACUAGAGUGUGGUAGGGGAUACUGGAAUUCCUGGUGUAGCGGUGAAAUGCGUAGAUAUCAGGAGGAAUACCUAUGGCGAAGGCAGCCCCCUGGGUCAAGAUUGACGCUCAUGCACGAAAGCGUGGGGAGCAAACAGG
rnacentral:rRNA from 1 species